AAUAUUGCAAAAUGGGCGAAAGCCUGAUGCAGCAACGCCUCGUGAGUGAUGAAGGCCUUAGGGUCGUAAAGCUCUUUGAUCAGAGAUAAUAAUGACAGUACCCGACAAACAAGACACGGCUAGCUACGCUCCAGCAUCCGCGGUAAUACGUAGGUGGCGAGCGUUGUCCGGAAUUACUGGGCGUAAAGGAUGCGUAGGUGGAUAUUCAAGUGGGAUGUGAAAUCCCUGGGCUCAACCCGGGAACUGCAUUCCAAACUGGGUAUCUAGAGUGCAGGAGAGGAAAGCGGAAUUCCUAGUGUAGCGGUGAAAUGCGUAGAUAUUAGGAGGAACACCAGUGGCGAAGGCGGCUUUCUGGACUGUAACUGACACUGAGGCAUGAAAGCGUGGGUAGCAAACAGG
rnacentral:rRNA from 1 species